rnacentral:rRNA from 1 species
AUUGAACGCUGGCGGCAUGCCUAACACAUGCAAGUCGAACGAGUGGCGGACGGGUGAGUAAUGUCUGGGAGGCUGCCCGAGGGAGGGGGGGAACUACUGGAGACGGUGGCUAAUACAGCAUACCAUCGGAGGUGCCCAGAUGGGAUGAGCUAGUAGGGGGGGUAAAGGCGCACCUAGGCGCCGAUCCCUAGCUGGUCUGAGAGGGUGACCAGCCACACUGGGACUGAGACACGGCCCAGACUCCUACGGGAGGCAGCAGUGGGGAAUCUUGCACAAUGGGCGCAAGCCUGAUGGAGCAAUGCCGCGUGUAUGAAGAAGGCUUUCGGGUUGUAAAGUACUGUCAUCGGGGAAGCGUUAUUCACAGAAAAAGCACCGGCUAACUCCGUGCCAGCAGCCGCGGUAAUAC